rnacentral:tRNA from 1 species
GUUUUAAUAGUUUAAAUAAAAACACUGAUCUUGUAAAUCAAAAAUAAUUUACUUUUUAAAACU